GCUUGUUCUCAGGGCAGGGUGAAACUCCCGACCGGCGGUAAUCCUUCCCUUUCACGGGGGGGACAGCCCGCGAGCGCCCUUUGCCGGUGGUGAAGGGGUCCAGCAGAUCCGGUGCGAAGCCGGAGCCGACGGUAUAGUCCGGAUGGAAGAGAACGAGG
rnacentral:ncRNA from 19 species